rnacentral:rRNA from 1 species
GUUAGUGGAAGCGUCUGGAAAGGCGCGCGAUACAGGGUGACAGCCCCGUACACAAAAGCGCAUGUGCUGUGAGCUCGAUGAGUAGGGCGGGACACGUGGUAUCCUGUCUGAAUAUGGGGGGACCAUCCUCCAAGGCUAAAUACUCCUGACUGACCGAUAGUGAACCAGUACCGUGAGGGAAAGGCGAAAAGAACCCCGGCGAGGGGAGUGAAAAAGAACCUGAAACCGUGUACGUACAAGCAGUGGGAGCACCCUUUUGGGUGUGACUGCGUACCUUUUGUAUAAUGGGUCAGCGACUUAUAUUCUGUAGCAAGGUUAACCGAAUAGGGGAGCCGGAGGGAAACCGAGUCUUAAUUGGGCGUUAAGUUGCAGGGUAUAGACCCGAAACCCGGUGAUCUAGCCAUGGGCAGGUUGAAGGUUGGGUAACACUAACUGGAGGACCGAACCGACUAAUGUUGAAAAAUUAGCGGAUGACCUGUGGCUGGGGGUGAAAGGCCAAUCAAACCGGGAGAUAGCUGGUUCUCCCCGAAAGCUAUUUAGGUAGCGCCUCGUGAAUUCAUCUCCGGGGGUAGAGCACUGUUUCGGCUAGGGGGCCAUCCCGGCUUACCAACCCGAUGCAAACUGCGAAUACCGGAGAAUGUUAUCACGGGAGACACACGGCGGGUGCUAACGUCCGUCGUGAAGAGGGAAACAACCCAGACCGCCAGCUAAGGUCCCAAAGUCAUGGUUAAGUGGGAAACGAUGUGGGAAGGCCCAGACAGCCAGGAUGUUGGCUUAGAAGCAGCCAUCAUUUAAAGAAAGCGUAAUAGCUCACUGGUCGAGUCGGCCUGCGCGGAAGAUGUAACGGGGCUAAACCAUG